rnacentral:rRNA from 1 species
AGUGAACGCUGGCGGUAGGCCUAACACAUGCAAGUCGAACGGCAGCACAGCAGUAGCAAUACUGUGGGUGGCGAGUGGCGGACGGGUGAGGAAUACAUCGGAAUCUACCUUUUCGUGGGGGAUAACGUAGGGAAACUUACGCUAAUACCGCAUACGACCUUAGGGUGAAAGUAGGGGAUCGCAAGACCUUACGCGGAUAGAUGAGCCGAUGUCGGAUUAGCUAGUUGGCGGGGUAAAGGCCCACCAAGGCUACGAUCCGUAGCUGGUCUGAGAGGAUGAUCAGCCACACUGGAACUGAGACACGGUCCAGACUCCUACGGGAGGCAGCAGUGGGGAAUAUUGGACAAUGGGCGCAAGCCUGAUCCAGCCAUACCGCGUGGGUGAAGAAGGCCU